CCAAGGCGACGAUCGGUAGCCGGACUGAGAGGUUGAACGGCCACAUUGGGACUGAGACACGGCCCAGACUCCUACGGGAGGCAGCAGUGGGGAAUAUUGCACAAUGGGGGAAACCCUGAUGCAGCGACGCCGCGUGGAGGAAGAAGGUCUUCGGAUUGUAAACUCCUGUUGUUGAGGAAGAUAAUGACGGUACUCAACAAGGAAGUGACGGCUAACUACGUGCCAGCAGCCGCGGUAAAACGUAGGUCACAAGCGUUGUCCGGAAUUACUGGGUGUAAAGGGAGCGCAGGCGGGAAGACAAGUUGGAAGUGAAAUCCAUGGGCUCAACCCAUGAACUGCUUUCAAAACUGUUUUUCUUGAGUAGUGCAGAGGUAGGCGGAAUUCCCGGUGUAGCGGUGGAAUGCGUAGAUAUCGGGAGGAACACCAGUGGCGAAGGCGGCCUACUGGGCACCAACUGACGCUGAGGCUCGAAAGUGUGGGUAGCAAACAGGAUUAGAUACCCUGGUAGUCCACACCGUAAACGAUGAUUACUAGGUGUUGGAGGAUUGACCCCUUCAGUGCCGCAGUUAACACAAGAAGUAAUCCACCUGGGGAGUACGACCGCAAGCUUGCAA
rnacentral:rRNA from 1 species